rnacentral:rRNA from 1 species
CGAGAAAAGCCUCUAGAUAGAAAAUAGGUGCCCGUACCGCAAACCGACACAGGUAGUCAAGAUGAGAAUUCUAAGGUGAGCGAGCGAACUCUCGUUAAGGAACUCGGCAAAAUGACCCCGUAACUUCGGGAGAAGGGGUGCUCUUUAGGGUUAACGCCCAGAAGAGCCGCAGUGAAUAGGCCCAAGCGACUGUUUAUCAAAAACACAGGUCUCUGCUAAACCGUAAGGUGAUGUAUAGGGGCUGACGCCUGCCCGGUGCUGGAAGGUUAAGAGGAGUGGUUAGCUUCUGCGAAGCUACGAAUCGAAGCCCCAGUAAACGGCGGCCGUAACUAUAACGGUCCUAAGGUAGCGAAAUUCCUUGUCGGGUAAGUUCCGACCCGCACGAAAGGCGUAACGAUUUGGGCACUGUCUCAACGAGAGACUCGGUGAAAUCAUAGUACCUGUGAAGAUGCAGGUUACCC